rnacentral:tRNA from 1 species
AAGCCCCGGCAGACGUUAGUCUGCGUCUUUGGAUUUGCAAUCCAAUAUGUACUCCACCACGGGGCU